GUGACGCCAGUCGCAUCGCCGGGUAGCUAUGUUCGGAAGGGAUAACCGCUGAAAGCAUCUAAGCGGGAAGCCUACCUCAAGAUAAGAUUUCCCUAGGACUUUAUGUCCUCUAAAGAGCCGUUCGAGACUAGGACGUUGAUAGGUUGGAUGUGGAAGCAUAGUGAUAUGUGAAGCUGACCAAUACUAAUUGCUCGUGAGGCUUGACUAUACAACACCCAAGCAGUUG
rnacentral:rRNA from 1 species